GAUGAACGCUGGCGGCGUGCCUAAUACAUGCAAGUCGAGCGAACAGACGAGGAGCUUGCUCCUCUGACGUUAGCGGCGGACGGGUGAGUAACACGUGGAUAACCUACCUAUAAGACUGGGAUAACUUCGGGAAACCGGAGCUAAUACCGGAUAAUAUAUUGAACCGCAUGGUUCAAUAGUGAAAGACGGUUUUGCUGUCACUUAUAGAUGGAUCCGCGCCGCAUUAGCUAGUUGGUAAGGUAACAGCUUACCAAGGCAACGAUGCGUAGCCGACCUGAGUGGGUGAUCGGCCACACUGGAACUGAGACACGGUCCAGACUCCUACGGGAGGCAGCAGUAGGGAAUCUUCCGCAAUGGGCGAAAGCCUGACGGAGCAACGCCGCGUGAGUGAUGAAGGUCUUCGGAUCGUAAAACUCUGUUAUUAGGGAAGAACAAAUGUGUAAGUAACUAUGCACGUCUUGACGGUACCUAAUCAGAAAGCCACGGCUAACUACGUG
rnacentral:rRNA from 1 species